GACGGAGGAUGCAAGUGUUAUCCGGAAUCACUGGGCGUAAAGCGUCUGUAGGUGGUUUAAUAAGUCAACUGUUAAAUCUUGAGGCUCAACCUCAAAAUCGCAGUCGAAACUAUUAGGCUAGAGUAUAGUAGGGGUAAAGGGAAUUUCCAGUGGAGCGGUGAAAUGCGUAGAGAUUGGAAAGAACACCGAUGGCGAAGGCGGGUCUCUGGGCCGAUACUGACGCUGAGGAGCGAAAGCGUGGGGAGCGAACAGG
rnacentral:rRNA from 1 species